rnacentral:rRNA from 1 species
AACGAACGCUGGCGGCGUGCUUAACACAUGCAAGUCGAACGGGAUUCAGAGCUUGCUCUGAUGAGAGUGGCGCACGGGUGAGUAACGCGUGGAUAACCUGCCCUGGUAUCUGGAAUAACAUCUCGAAAGGGGUGCUAAUACCGGAUAAGCUUACGAUUCCCUCGGGAGUUGUGAGAAAAGGUGGCCUCUAUUUAUAAGCUACCGUAUCAGGAUGGGUCCGCGUACCAUUAGCUAGUUGGUGGGGUAAUGGCCUACCAAGGCGACGAUGGUUAGCUGGUCUGAGAGGAUGAUCAGCCACACUGGAACUGAGACACGGUCCAGACUCGUACGGGGGGCAGCAGUGGGGAAUUUUGCGCAAGGGGGGAAACCCUUACGCAGCAACGCCGCGUGAGUGAUGAAGGCUUUCGGGUCGUAAAGCUCUGUCAGUAGGGAAGAAGUGUAAUGGUGCUAAUACCACCUUUACUUGACGGUACCUACAAAGGAAGCACCGGCUAACUCCGUGCCAGCCGCCGCCGUAAGAC